GACGAACGCUGGCGGCGUGCUUAACACAUGCAAGUCGAACGAAGUGGCGAACGGGUGAGUAUUACGUGGGUAACCUCUCCUCCUUUUUGGGUUAAGCCUUUGAAACGGGGUCUAAUACCGCAUAUAGUGGUAUGGGCUCGCGGCCUAUCAGCUUGUUGGUGGGGUGAUGGCCUACCAAGGGGGUGACGGGUGGCCGGCUGGAGAGGGUGACCGGGAACAAGGGGACGGAGAGACGGCCCAGAGAGGUAGGGGAGGGAGAAGUGGGGGAAAGGGCAAAAUGGGCGAAAGGCUGAUGCAGCGACGCGGCGAGGGGGAUGAAGGAGUGAGGGUUGUAAACCUCGUUCGCAAGGGAACGGGUAGGUGGAGAAGAAGCGCCGGCUAACUACGUGCCAGCAGCCGCGGUAAUAC
rnacentral:rRNA from 1 species